rnacentral:rRNA from 1 species
UACGUAGGGGGCCAGCGUUGUUCGGAAUUACUGGGCGUAAAGCGCACGUAGGCGGACAUUUUAAGUUGGAGGUGAAAGCCUUGGGCUCAACCCAAGAAUUGCCUUUGAUACUGGAUGUCUCGAGACCGGGAGAGGUGAGUGGAAUUCCGAGUGUAGAGGUGAAAUUCGUAGAUAUUCGGAAGAACACCAGUGGCGAAGGCGGCUCACUGGCCCGGUUCUGACGCUGAGGUGCGAAAGCGUGGGGAGCAAACGGG